GAUCGGUUGGCGUCCUAAAGGUGUUGAUGGGCCACAAAGAUCCUGAAGUGAAGAGGAAGAGAAAGAGAAGAAGAGAAAAGAGGAGAGGAGAGGAAGGCGUUGGCCGCGUGGUGCUGCCCUGCCAAAUAGUGGAAGGAGAAAACAAGGGGAAGAAUAAACGCUGGCAGGAAACGAAUGGAGGAGGGGCGGCGCUGUAGGACGUUAGGAAACCGCUGCGUCCUUCUACGGGAGUCUUAGCGCCGUGCCUUCGCCUGUGCCGCAGACGCUCGAGACUGUGCUAAGUCGAGGCGCCUCUCCGCUGUGUGCAAUUCCGGGCUUUGGUGUGUCUAUUCAGGAGGAACUAAAAGCAGUGUUGUAAUAUUGAGGCCUCAUUUGGCUGCCCUCCAUCAGGCCGCGCCCUUGUCGCUGUUACAUGCAACUUUAGCA